GACUUGUAAAGGGGCGGGGGGGGUGGUGUCAGUGGCCAAAAGCCUGAAGGCCCACCCAGAUCCUUCCCCUUUUAGUUUGAUUUUGUGAAAUCACCUCACCUCUCUGGGCCUCAGUUUCUCAUCUGUAAAAUGGUCGACCUUCUGUUGACCUGGAAUGAUGUUCUCUCUCUAGUGUUUAUUCCUUCCUUCGUUCAUUAAAAACCCUGAGGGGGUCCUGCUGCUGCUCUGCGGUGGAAACGAAAAUGAAGAAGAUUCCACGAAAAUGAAAAAGACGGUGCCUGCCUUCGAAGUGCUCAGCAGCCUGAAGGCUCAAUGGAGGUCUGCAAAGGAAGGAACACCUGACAGCCUUGGAAGGUCAGCAUGUCCAGCUGGAAGUUUUUUAUUGAAAAUCUCAGCUGAACGGAGGAACAUAGCUUCAACUGCAGACCCUUUCAGCAAAGCAAUCUGAUCUUCGUGGUCCAAAGUCUGAAAUCCUGGAUGAAGAUGAUAAUCAAAUCAAUAUCAAAAAAUUGUGAAUGCCAUAUAGCAAUAUUUCAUCAUCGCUAUCAUCCCCAUUGAUAAAGCAUUUCCAUAAAGUGAUUUUAUAAUUGUUUUAAAAUUGGGUAGUCAGGCUGGGUCAUUAUCUAUUGUUCUCUCCCAAACAGAAGCUGACUUUUAUUUUUAAUGAGUAGGAUUUGUCGAACAAGUUGGUUAAAAAAGAAUGGCAGAUCCACACCAAAAAUACAUAUCAUGGCAGAACAGGCUGAUGCAGAUGAAGCAACCCUCAGAAAUUAGAAGAAAUCAGAUUCUCUUUGAGCCAUUAUAUUAGUCACAUCUGAUGUCACAGGGUCAACUCUAUAGAAUGGAAGCAUCCACAAACAAGAAUAAAAAUCUUUACAUGUAUCCAGACAUUA